UACAGAGGGUGCAAACGUUGCUCGGAAUUAUUGGGCGUAAAGCGCACGUAGGCGGUUCGUUAAGUUGGAUGUGAAAGCCCUGGGCUCAACUCAGGAAGUGCAUUCAAAACUGGCGAGCUUGAAUAUGGAAGAGGGUCGCGGAAUUCCCGGUGUAGAGGUGAAAUGCGUAGAGAUGCGGAGGAACACCGAUGGCGAAGGCAGCCCCCUGGGCCAAUACUGACGCUCAGGCACGAAAGCGUGGGGAGCAAACAGG
rnacentral:rRNA from 1 species